AAAGAGCCUGACGUGGGGCCCGAUCCCACGACCCUGGGACCAUGACCUGAGCUAAAAUCGAGAGUUGGCCGCUCCACCGACUGAGCCACCCAGGAGCCCUUAGAUGAAGACGAUUUUAAUAACACGGCCAGAACUUGCAAGUGCCUGAGAAUAUUUACAUGGAACGCUGGUCUCUGCAGCGUUUCUGACCUCAGCAGAGCCAUGAGCCUAUCUUUGUCCCGUUAACUUAGCAGAUGUCACACUACGAAAAGUGACAGGGUCGCCAACAGACAGGUUAUCUCUGAGGUUGGUUAACAUGUAGAUCCAGGGCUCCCUGAGGCCCCAGACUUAUUUCCUGGAAAACUCGUAGGUUGAUCAGAGCAGCUGCAGAACUGUGGAAAGUGGUUGGUUUGGAGCACCGUUUCGAGAAGCAGAGCGCGGGCUCGGGACCACGGAGACGCGUGCCAACCCUGACUUCCUGCUCCAUCCCAGGCUGGCCUCUGCGUGUGCCUCUUCAGAGUCUCCUGUCCCCUUCAGGGGGCGCGGGGCUUCAAUGAAGCAGCACGAGGCCCGCAGCCCGCUCAGUUCCUGGCACCGAGUCUGCACUCAGAUGUUAGUCCUAUUCCUACAUUUGCCCCCCUUGGCACUAGAAGGAAACGGGACUGCCCGUGACUUGUCGCUUAGGCCCCGACCCGACUUUCGGGAGCUUCCGCUGCCACCGACCGACACAGCAGGGCAGUGAGAAAUCAUAUGGAGAAGUCUCGUCUGCAAUCUCCCUCUGGAACUUCUGCAGGAAUGGGGGGCAGGUGCACUCACGGAGGCCCAGACAGGAUCCAAGGGUCUCUCCAGUGUUUGGAGUCACAAGGAAGUCGCUCGCUCACUGUAAUCGUCAGGAGAACUAACCUUUGUUGCAAGCACGUGCUUGGAUCGCGACUUGACUCCGGAGUCCGAGCUGAGCGAGUGCUCUGGACAGAGCAAGGGAUUUGGAGCCUCUGGAACCGGGUUCGCAUCCUGGCUCUGCUGUCCACUCGCCCUGAGGCCAGGGACAAGACCCUCGGCGUCUCUGGGCCGCGCCUCCCUCUUCCACAGAAUGGGCCUAGCAGCAGCCCGCACGUAGUGUGGCCCGAAAAGCCCCAGCCUGUGCCGGGCCCUCUGUGGACGGUGAUACGGUGAUUCACCGCUGGUGUAACCGUCCUCGUUAUUUUAUUCCAGAGACCUAGUUGACGCCCUCUCUGGAGUUCUGUCCUUCACACUCCGUGUGAGGAGGCAUCCAUAGGUGUCAGCGGGACGUGCCGAGGGGCUUCUGCCGGGCUUCACCCUCAGCCUCCGGUUUUUGGCUCCUUUGCCGAGCCCUCGCCGUGUCCUGAGCCUUCCGCCAUACGGGCCCGGCAGCCGCAUCCCCUUCGUGGCUUUCCCGGCCCUCGGCAGUUGGGUGGCCCCUGAGCCGCGGGGAGACUCAGAGACUCGGGCAGACCGGGGUCUGUGUCAUUUUACAGACCCUCCGCCAAGAGAGCCAGACGGCGAGAACGCUCGGCGACCACAGGAGAGGCCCCGCAGGUGUGACCUGCUUCUCUGACCCCGGAGAAGCCUGCAGAGGAAGCCGAAAGCGUAAGUCAGACUCCAGGCUUCCCGAACACCGUGUGCCCACGAGUCACCGAGGGGGACCCGCCUGAUUCAGCGGCUCUGGGGGGCCCGGGGGCCCUCGUUCCUGACCGCCUGGCGCCGCACCGCAGACCGCACUCAGGAGCAAAGGUUGGACCGCGUGCGCCACGCUCCGGGGCCCGGCGUUCAGACACGUGGGGGAAGGAGACCCUGAACUUGGCAUCAAACGCUGGUUCAGGUCCACCGAGUGACUCCGGGCAGGCCUCCAACUUCCUGAACUUUUUCUUCCUCAGCAGGAAAAUCGCCCCGACGGUAACCCUCCCACUUACCUCACGGACAGCUCGCGGCUGCGGGGUCUUCCAGACACGGGUGCCAAGCCCAGCCCCGCUUCUCACUGGCCGCGGGAGCUUUGCCCGCCUCUGCUGGCCUCGUUCUCGUCCGCAAAACGGGAGUCGGACCUUACAAAGCCUCUCUGUGGUAAUGGGACAAGUCACGCUCCGGGGUCGGAAGAGGGGUCGGGUGUUUUUAGGGAAAAGGGUGCCAUCAGGGAAGUGUCCUUUAUUUCCCCUCCGGAAAGAGGGUCUGCACCUCGGAGACCGGAAGGGAGGCGUUCGGGGCCGAGGCAGCAGCCAGACCAAAGGUGAGCUGGUGAGCGGCGAGAGGUGGACCGCAUCGCACCCGGGGCAGGAGCAGGGACGCCCUCCCACAGGUGGUGUUGGCAGGAGCUCCCGUCUCCCGGGCCCUCACCCUGAGCAUGGCCUGGCGCUCAGCCUUCUGCACGAUUUCUUGCCCCUCCUCCUCCCAGGGACCCUGGGCACUCGGUCCGUUCUGCGGGUGCGGAUGAGGUUCAAAGAGACGCAUCCCCUUGCACGAGACCACGCGGCUAGAAAGCCCCAGAGACCUCACGGUCCGGUUGGGGAAGAGGCGUAACCGAUCCAAGGAAGAGAUGUCUGAGCACAUACCAUGAUCAUUCGCUCCAGUGCCACACUGUUAGGAUGCCCGCUUCACGGCUGGGAAAACUGAGGUUUGGAGACGGCAGGCCCCUUGUCUGAGGCCCUAGAGUCGGUCAGCGGCAGAGCCAAGAUCCGAACCCUCAUUUGCCACACUCCCAAGCCCUUACCAAGGUCUGAGCAGGCAGAAGAGGGGUGGGAGAGCCUUCCAGACAAUGGGAUCAAGACUGAGCGAAGCCACAGAGGCUGCUCUGUCCCUUAUUCAGAGCCUUCUGCAUCUGGUGCCCCAUCUACCCUUGAGGGGACUGCUGGAAACAGAAUUGCACCCGCUUUGCAGUGAAGGCCCUGCGGGUCUGUAAGGACUUUCUGAGGACCCCAGAGCUCUCGUCUCCUGAGUCCUGGCAAGACCAGGAGAGGUGGCUGUCUGCAGAACGGCACUGUCCCCGGCUACGGAGGUAAUCUGUACACCCAGCAUGGGGCUCGAACUCACAACCCCAAGAU